GGCAGCACAGAGGAGCUUGCUCCUUGGGUGGCGAGUGGCGGACGGGUGAGGAAUACAUCGGAAUCUACUUUUUCGUGGGGGAUAACGUAGGGAAACUUACGCUAAUACCGCAUACGACCUACGGGUGAAAGCAGGGGACCUUCGGGCCUUGCGCGAUUGAAUGAACCGAUGUCGGAUUAGCUAGUUGGCGGGGUAAAGGCCCACCAAGGCGACCAUCCGUAGCUGGUCUGAAAGGAUGAUCAGCCACACUGGAACUGAGACACGGUCCACACUCCUACGGGAGGCAGCAGUGGGGAAUAUUGGACAAUGGGCGCAAGCCUGAUCCAGCCAUACCGCGUGGGUGAAGAAGGCCUUCGGGUUGUAAAGCCCUUUUGUUGGGAAAGAAAUCCAGCCGGCUAAUACCUGGUUGGGAUGACGGUACCCAAAGAAUAAGCACCGGCUAACUUCGUGCCACCACCCGCGGUAAUACGAAGGGUGCAAGCGUUACUCGGAAUUACUGGGCGUAAAGCGUGCGUAGGUGGUUGUUUAAGUCUGUUGUGAAAGCCCUGGGCUCAACCUGGGAACUGCAGUGGAAACUGGACAACUAGAGUGUGGUAGAGGGUAACGUAAUUCCCGGUGUAUCAGUGAAAUGCGUAGAGAUCGGAAGGAACAUCCAUGGCGAAGGCAGCUACCUGGACCAACACUGACACUGAGGCACGAAAGCGUGGGGAGCAAACAUGAUUAGAUACCCUGGUAGUCCACGCCCUAAACGAUGCGAACUGGAUGUUGGGUGCAUUUGGCACGCACUAUCGAAGCUAACGCGUUAAGUUCGCCGCCUGGGGAGUACGGUCGCA
rnacentral:rRNA from 1 species